CCAGACUGUUCCUAAAACUCUGUUAUAUUCCCACAGUGGAUGGCCAGAUUGCUCUUAAAAGUGUGUUACAGUCCUACAGCGGACGGCCAGAUUGUUCUUGGAGAUUGAAGAUGCAGGGAGGGACCUACUUCAAAUGAUGAAACAUGAAAACUUUGUCUCUGGCUUUCGUUUGGAAAGACGGGAGGAUUCAAUCCUGUUUCUCACCCGGUGUGAUGUGAUGCCGCGACCUGAACCCCCAGAUAGAAAGUUUUCUUGGGCUGAUGCUGGCAUUGUCUGCAGGGGCAAAGGAAUAUAUGGGCUGACCUCCUCCUGCUCCCUGGGAUUUUAGAUACCUUUGGAAAUGGAUUUAAAACAAUG
rnacentral:lncRNA from 1 species